rnacentral:rRNA from 1 species
GUCGAGCGAACGGACGAGAAGCUUGCUUCUCUGAUGUUAGCGGCGGACGGGUGAGUAGCACGUGGAUAACCUACCUAUAAGACUGGGAUAACUUCGGGAAACCGGAGCUAAUACCGGAUAAUAUUUUGAACCGCAUGGUUCAAAAGUGAAAGACGGUCUUGCUGUCACUUAUAGAUGGAUCCGCGCUGCAUUAGCUAGUUGGUAAGGUAACGGCUUACCAAGGCAACGAUGCAUAGCCGACCUGAGAGGGUGAUCGGCCACACUGGAACUGAGACACGGUCCAGACUCCUACGGGAGGCAGCAGUAGGGAAUCUUCCGCAAUGGGCGAAAGCCUGACGGAACAACGCCGCGUGAGUGAUGAAGGUCUUCGGAUCGUAAAACUCUGUUAUUAGGGAAGAACAUAUGUGUAAGUAACUGUGCACAUCUUGACGGUACCUAAUCAGAAAGCCACGGCUAACUACGUGCCAGCAGCCGCGGUAAUACGUAGGUGGCAAGCGUUAUCCGGAAUUAUUGGGCGUAAAGCGCGCGUAGGCGGUUUUUUAAGUCUGAUGUGAAAGCCCACGGCUCAACCGUGGAGGGUCAUUGGAAACUGGAAAACUUGAGUGCAGAAGAGGAAAGUGGAAUUCCAUGUGUAGCGGUGAAAUGCGCAGAGAUAUGGAGGAACACCAGUGGCGAAGGC